ACAAAUUUAUCAACGUGAAAUUAUUCAUAGUGUGCGACGGUGGUGUCUAAGAACAUAGGGUUUCUUUCGUGUAUAAUCGAUAAUUUAUAAAUACCUAUUAAAAGAAUUCUUUUCACUAUUCCAUGAUGUUGGAGUAUCAGUAGAACUUGAUCUUUGAGCACGUAACAAUGCAUAAUUAACCCGUUGUGAUCACUGAGGGUCCAAUCGAUCUCGUGUGACCAUUAUGAAAUUAAUCGAAGGUGUAACCACAACGCGGGUUAAUAUCAUUUGCAGCAUAACGUUAUUUUUCCGCAUAUUUUGUAUAAUGUAAUCAAAACAUCAUAUUUUUUUUUAUAACAUAAUUUCACAACUUAAUCGCAGUUGAUUUGAUGUACAUUCAAAUUUUGCUUCUAUCGGUGGGCUCUUUGAUAGAAAGUAGAGCAAUCUCGUAUAUAUGCAUAUUUAAUAAAACAAAUCUUUAAAUUUAAAACUAUUUUAUUUAAACUGUCUCUAUAAAUAUAUUAAUUUCGACAAGAGACGCCGCUCGAGAUAGACGAGUUUUCGUCCGGUUCGCGCAGAAGUAACCCCCACUACACCGUUUUACUUGGGCUGAACGUUAUGUCCUCUCCACUCUGAUCUUCUUAGUCGCCAUUGUGCGCACUCCGAGCGAGGUCUCUCGUUGAAAUUAGUAUAGAUGUUGUAUCUGAUUUUUAUUUUUAAUUUUCCUCAGUGUACUCACUAAAUUCUAUUUUUAUUGCUAGAAAAUAAAAACAAAAGCCCCGUGUACACGCUCGUCUAAUAGAACAAGAGCCAUCAUUUCUCCUGCGCUUUUAAACUUUACGAAAUUAUGACUUACGAUUCGUCACCCCAAUCACGGUAUUCUUUCGGAAUUUUCUCAAAUAAACAAAAUGUAAUUUUUUUGACGAAACGAAAAGAAAUAGGGCAGGAGAGAGAAGAAAACGAAAGUUUUUUGUAAUCUUUUGUAAAAGCCUAUGUACUUUGUAUCACAAUGUUUAAAUUUUAUAGAAACGUCUGGCACGAUUAAAAAUAUAAUUUUCGCUACCAGUACACCAAAAAUAAUCCUUUUUUCACUUUACACAAAAGGACCAAAUUUCGAAGCACAGAUAGCAAAAAAUAAUGUGGGACAGGUACGAAUUAGCGGGUUAUUGCCCGCUCUCGCGGAUAAACGUAUGUCGCCUUCGGCUCGUGCAUUUAUAUCCCGCACUUAUGGGCAAUUAGUCGAUUUAUCACUAAUUGCACAAAUACCUAUUUUUAUCAAGUUUUCCUACCAACUGGUUAAAAGGCCAGUAUUCGAUAAUAAAUUAUCAAUGAAUAAGAACAUUUUAUUUUUUUAGUAGUUCAUUAAAUACAACGAGUAAUAUAUUUUUGUGUUUUAUAAAUAUUUUAACUUUUUGUCUUAACAAAAUAAGUUUGUUUUUUAGUGUAACACAUAAAAUGUUUAAUGUUAAGCUAUUACUAAUUUAAUACAUAAUAGCAGUAUUAUUUAUGGCCAACUAUUAAAUAUUCCAGAGGCUGUUGAUAGAAAACAUUUACCGAUGGCUAAAGAAAAAUUAUCGCAACGCCAUCAAAUGUUUCUUAUAUUAAUAAAAACUGAAGAAGAUUACGUAGAAAUCCUCCAUAUAAUUAUAGAGAGUAAGUAUUUACUAUCCAUUGAAACGAGUUUUACAUUUUUUUAUUGCUUUUUUAAUCAUCGAUUUAUGCACAUUUUUUAUGAUUACAGUUUAAAUUGAAACUGGAAUCUCUCAUAGGCAAAAGUGGGGAAGAAUUGCUAAAUAGCACGGAAGUGAACAUUAUAUUAGGUAAUUUUCCACUUAUCUAUAACAUUCAUGAACAGUUGUUGGAGGCACUGUAUCGUAAUGCUGCUCAUUGGACAGAAGAUAUCAGCAUCGGCGAAAUAUUUUUCAAGUUUACACCAUAUUUGGUUAACGCAUAUUUUCCAUACGUCAACUUCUUCAAAAAUACAAAACAAAUUUAGUGCGAUCAAAAUAAGCCGCAAUUUCACACUUUGUUAAACAUUCGUGAAAUAAUAACAAAUUACGGUAAAGAAAGCUUAAGGGACCUGUUAAUUAUGCCAAUACUAAGAUUAUGUAGUUAUAAUUUAUUCCUAAACACUUUUUGAGCAUACGAAAAAAAAUGAUCCGGAUUAUAAUGUGUUGAAGAAUUCUAUUAGCCACAUUAUAAAAGUAUUGAUGUAUACAAAAAAUAUCAAAUGGAAAACUGAACGUCUGUUAACAAUAUUAAAUAUUUUUUAUAAAAUUAAUAAUUGUCCGCCACAAAUAAUUUCCUUGCAUAGAUUGUUUAUCAAUCAAUGUGACGUAACGGUGAUUAGUGGUGAUCUUAGUAAACGAGGAGACCGUUUAUCGUUAUUCCUAUUUAAUGACACUCUUAAAAUAUGCAAGAGAAGAUCGAAAUCUGGGUCAUUAAAUAGUCUUAAAAAUGUAAUCGGUUGAAAAAAAAGCUGUGCCAAGGAAAGCCGUAUGAGGAUAUUGAAAUGUAGUCGCUAAGUACUAUAAACAAAAUCGUGGAUGUAACUGAUCAAUGUCACAAUGUAUUAUAUAUGGGCUCAUUGUACGAAGCCUUCAGGACCUAAGAAAAAAAUAUUUUUGGUUCAUAAUUACUAAAAAAAUAUAAAUAAAAGAAAUUAUUUAUAUAUUUUAUGUAUGCAAUUGUAUUUCACUAUCCGUAUAACUGAUACUGAUGCAUUCCUCAUUACACGUGAUUCGAAUCAUCUUAAAGCUAGUAUUGAUGCUGUGGCAUCAAAACAUUAAAAGUACAGUUACAAUAAAUGGACGUGUAAAAGAAAUCUUACAAGAAAAAUAAUUUAGCCUACAAAAUAAGUUUAAUAACCUAAAAGAUAAAAAAAGCAACAAUGGAAAACAUUAAUGACAAAUAAAUAUAUAUGAUAAACGAAUAAAAAAAAUCUCAAAAUUUUAUCGAUGCUAUUCUCUUGUUCUUUGGAAGAAAAAAGACAGUCGCCAUAGAGCGAGCAUUCUGAAAAUAGAGGUUCAGAAAGAAAAAGACAUAGUACUGUACCGUUCUCCCUUGUUUCGCUUAUGCGUACAAGUAAAAGGAGCACUAAGAAGAAACGAGAAACGUUGAACGAUGAACUGUGAAACGAAAGGGAAGUACAAUUGGGAAACACGGCACGUCUAUUGUAUAGUAUGUAUAAUUUUGUAUAAUUAUAUUUUUCUUUUCUACUUAUUAUUUAUUAUACAUCAUAAUUGUGGAUAUCGUUAUGGUGAAUGGGUGUUAAUGCAAGAAAAUAUGCAAGGAAAUGUAACGCGUAUUUCCGCCUCGUUUUUGGAUGACCUAUUGCAAACGCUCACGCAUUUUGAUACAAGCUUCAAUUGUGGCUUUCUUCCAUUAACACUCACACACACUUGCCCACACAAUUGCGAGCGCGAGGGCGCGCGCGCACACACACACACACAAUGUGCAAAAUCCGACCAGCAAUCUCUUUGUAGUGAACAUCGAGAGUAACGUUAAUAUUAAUGCUGGUAAAUGAGCAAAAUGCACAUGUAACUUUGAUUCUCUUCAAUUCCGCAAAGAAAAAUCGUACGAAUUUUAACUUUGUUUUAAUUUGCGAGAAAAAGUUCAACUUGUACGACGAUUGUGAUGACAUUUGCGGAAAAAGUUUAUUCUACUCCGUGGAAUGUGUCAAACUUGUGCAAUUCUGAUUUCUCUGUAAAAUAACUUUGAUUAUCAGAAACAGUUUAUUCUUCUAACAUUUCAUUGUUUUUUUCAAAAGUUGCUUUAAAAAUACAGAAUAAUCAAGUAAAUUCAGUUUUUUUAAAUAUUUCAUGUUCUUUGUAUGAAAUCCAAUAUUUCGUAACGAGAUCUCAUAUUUUAUAUGUAUUUUUUUUACAGAUUUGGAAAUUCUUUUCCAGAAUUAAAAUAUACAUAUCUGUUUGGACUUUCUACCAAGAAUAAAGAAAAUAAGAAAAAAAUGUAUUAAUAAUAUAUAUUAAUGAAUUUUAAUUAUGAACCCCAAUUAAGUUUGCCGGUCAUUUUGGCAUUCUUCCUCUAACUCUAAAUUAAGUAUUGACGAAAUUUUUGUAGUUUUAAGUUUCUUUAAAAGUUGAGUGCGUCUUUCCUGUAUCGAAAAAUACUCCGACGCAAUUGUUUCUCUCAUUCAAGUUUUUUCGCAUUACUCGUGCAAAGCCACGAACUCAUCUCGGGAAAGUUCCACUCCUGUUCAUAUUCUCGUGGAUUGUUCGUUCGAAUCCUCGACGCAUUUUCAUUAAGAAAUCAACGUGUGUGAAAUUAGCAUUUCAAAGUUUAGCAUCUCAUAAAAAUACUGUAUCCAGCAUAGUUCUACAGUUCUUGAUAGGUUUCAACAAUAGUUCCGUUGAAUUACGUAUUUUAAUUAAAUUUUUAUAAAUGAGAUGCUAACUUCCAAAAUCACAUAAUAGCAUCUCACCGUAUUUCGAAUAUACGACCAUAGAGAAGACUAAAUCUAUAGAGUUCUAUCGUUUAAAGACGUCCUGUCAAUAGUUCUAAUGAUUAAAUUAAUUUAAAAAAAUUUUUUGUUACAAAACAUACGUAUAUAUGCGUAUACGUCUGCGCACGUGGAUUUGGUGUAACUAGCAUCUCAGAUAGA